GACAGAGGUGCCAAGCGUUAGGCGGAAUCACUGGGCUUAAAGCGUGUGUAGGCGGAUCGUUAAGUACCUUGUGAAAUCCCACGGCUCAACCGUGGAACUGCUCGGUAUACUGGGUCGCUUGAGCCACUUAGGGGCUACCGGAACAAAUGGUGGAGCGGUGAAAUGCGUAGAUAUCAUUUGGAACGCCAAUGGUGAAAACAGGUAGCUGGGAGUGUGCUGACGCUGAUGCGCGAAAGCCAGGGGAGCAAACGGG
rnacentral:rRNA from 1 species